rnacentral:rRNA from 1 species
AUUGAACGCUGGCGGCAUGCUUUACACAUGCAAGUCGAACGGUAACAGGCCGCAAGGUGCUGACGAGUGGCGAAUUUGUUUGUAAUGCCUCGGAACGUGCUCAGUCGUGGGGGACAACUCUUCGAAAGAGUAGUUACUACUGCAUACGACUUUUGGUUCAAAAUGAGGGACCGUAAGGCCUUGGUCGAUUGGAGCAGCCGAUGUCAGAUUAGGUAGUUGGUGGGGUAAAGGCUCACCAAGCCAACGAUCUGUAGCUGGUCUGAGAGGACGACCAGCCACACUGGGACUGAGACACGGCCCAGACUCCUACGGGAGGCAGCAGUGGGGAAUUUUGGACAAUGGGCGCAAGCCUGAUCCAGCAAUGCCGCGUGCAGGAAGAAGGACUUCGGGUUGUAAACUGCUUUUGUACGGAACGAAACGGCUCUGGUUAAUACCCGGGGCUAAUGACGGUACCGUAAGAAUAAGCACCGGCUAACUACGUG